CUUUUGCAGGGUAAACUUUUUGACUCUACAGUAACUGAUGAAGGAACAUGGACGUUAGAAGACAGGAAGCUGAUACGAAUCGUUCUGAUGAAGACAAAUCGAGAUGCUGGAAAUUGCUGGACGUCUCUGUUGGAAAAUGAGUAUGCUGCUGAUCCCUGGGUACAGGACCAGAUGCAAAGGAAGCUUACACUGGAGCGAUUCCAGAGAGAGAACCCUGGAUUUGACUUCAGCGGGGCAGAAAUUUCUGGAAAUUACAGCAAAGGAGGACCAGACUUUUCUAGUCUUGAAAAGUAAACUUUUUAUCUGUGUUCCUUGAGAGGAAGGACACGUUACACUUGAAGACUGGAAUCACGUAACUGGUGAAGACUUCAGUGAUCUCUUCAGCGGAUUGUUGUCAAGUAAUUACUUCAGUGAAGAGAAAGAAGAUCUCUUCCAGUAGAAUGAAGACAAAGUGUUACCAGCUCAUUUAUAAGCUGCAAUAACUUUCCAAUACUAAGGGACAGACUAUAGAGAAAGAGGUACAUAAAAAAGUAACAUCUUUAAGCA